CCUUCUCUGUACUUCAAUUUCCUCAUCUUAAGAAUCACCAUCACCACCGCCACCACCGUAAUGGUUAGAUGCCAGAGCAGACAACCGCAGGGAUUCAUCCAUCCCUUGUAACACCUUUAUGAGGUGGCCAUUUCUGAAGCCAAGACGCUGGGUCUUCACCCACUGAAUGCCAGGAGAGGCCAGAAGCAGGGGAGCAGAGGCUCCAACCAGAAGAUGGAGCACAACUAUGAAGAGAAGCUGGCGCCCACCUUGACCCUCAUAUACUCCAGAUCCCUCAGCUGGCAGAGGGGAAACUGAGGCCUAGCCAAGAGGACGAUUAAAUCAAGGGACAUCAAGCCGGAUGACAAGGGAAGAGAGUAAAUAAGACACAUUAUCUUCCCAGAAGUCUAAUAAACCUCCGAAGCACAUUCCAUUGGCAAGAACUAACUAUCCAUGUGACCCAGUGCAGACAGAAAGAAGUGGGUCAUCACCAGGUGCCAAGGAAGCAGAGCUGGUGGGCUUUGGUGAGUAGCUGCAGUCUCUGUACAGGGUGGAUACUGAGAGGAAGCUGUAGGAGAUGAAGCAAAGAGAUUUAUCUAGGAGUCCAGUGGAGAGCUUCCUUGGACAGCAAAGAGAUCAAACCAGUCAGUCCUAAAGGAAAUCAACCCUGAAUAUUCAUUGGAAGGACUGACGCUGAAGCUCCAAUACUUUGGC